AGACUGCUGUGCUAGCAAUCAGCGAGACUCCGUGGGCGUAGGACCCUCCGAGCCAGGUGCGGGAUAUAAUCUCGUGGUGCGACGCUUUUUAAGCCCUUCAGAAAAGCGCAGUGUUCGGGUGGGAGUGACCCGAUUUUCCAGGUGCCGCCCGUCACCCCUUUCUUUGACUCAGAAAGGGAACUCCCUGACCCCUUGCGCUUCCCAAGUGAGGCAAUGCCUCGCCCUGCUUCGGCUCGCGCACGGUGCGCGCACCCGCUGACCUGCACCCACUGUCUGGCACUCCUUAGUGAGAUGAACCCGGUACCUCAGAUGGAAAUGCAGAAAUCACCCGUCUUCUGCGUCGCUCACGCUGGGAGCUGUAGACCGGAGCUGUUCCUAUUCGGCCAUCUUGGCUCCUCCUGUAACAAUUUCUUGAGAUGAAGAUCCUGAAUACCAAAGAGGGCCGCUGACAGGUCUAGGAGUACACUUCUAGCACCUAGCAGAGAGAGGCUUCACUACAUCAUGCUUCCUGACAUCUCUCCCUUUGAAGAGCAGUCAGACUCCUGCUUUGCUCUUCAGACUUAAUUUGGGGGUUUAACAGGUGAGGUUGCUGGGGGAACUCUUUUACAACAUCUCUCUGAAAGAAUCCGGGCUGCCAGUUUCAUUUGGUUUGGGUGUCAGUAGCAUGAUGGAAAGACAAAAAAACACAACUUGACAUCUGCAGAAAUGGGUUCAAAUUUUACCUGCAACUCACCAAUUCUGUGGC
rnacentral:lncRNA from 1 species